rnacentral:rRNA from 1 species
UAGUAGUGGCGAGCGAAACCGGAUCAGGCUAAACCUAGCGUGUGUGAUAGCCGGCAGGCGUUGCAUGGUCGGGGUUGUGGGACUUUUCGUUGUGUUCUGCCGAGCACUGAACGUUACAGCGCAUCAUAGACGAACAGGUUUGAAUGCCUGGCCAGAGCGGGUGCGAGCCCCGUAGUCGAAAUGGUGUUAUGGCGUGAAGAGUAUCCCAAGUAGCACGG